UACAUAAAAUACAUAUUAUUUUUCUUUGAAAGAUUUCUAUAAAUGAUUUAAAUCAUACUUGUUUCUACAAUAAUUAUUUAAAAGUAAUCCUAUAGCUUCAUCUGGUGGCCAUUAUUGGUGCUAAGAAUUGCAAGCUUGAUUUAUAAGUUAUGAUAGUUUUAAUUUUAUGCUGGCUCUUGAAAAUGAUAAAGCUAUGAAACUUACUGUGCUUCCUUCAAAUGAUGACUUCUACGUAUAUAAAAAAUUAUGAAGAGUUGGAAUGAAAAUUUUUAAAGAUAUAGUAAAAUAACUAUUGUAUUUUUUAAUGUUACUUUAAUAAAUCGCUAUGGCCACACCAUUUAAGGUAUCUUAAAAACCCAUUCGCUAUUUAACAUCUUCAGUAUAUUGGCUUCAUGUUAAAAAAGUUUGGUGUGAACUACUUGUGUCUUCUUGAAGGAGUAUGAAUUCAUUUACAGGCUGAUUUGAUCAUAAAUCCACAAUAAAAUUUCUGAGUUCUGUAUCAAUCUGUGUUGUUGUCUGUUUAUUUUUAUUUUUUUAUUUUUCAUAGGAAGAUAACUGACCCUUUACUCUCCUUUUUAAUAAAUGUGCUUAUAAACCAAGAACAAGCUAUUUAUAGCUGUAUGGAUUUACAUUUAAAAAAAUUAGUCUACGGCAAUCAUUCUAAACAGCUUGAAUAAAACCUGUUAAUAUUUAUUAUAGACCACUGUAACUGUGUAUAAUCUAACAAACAAGUUUAUUAUGAAAAUAAAAGUGUGUUCACCAGAUAAAUUGGACGAUAAAGAAAUUGCUAACAAUAGUAUUAUAGAGCAUGUUUUAGGUUUUUAGGCGUUUAGAUGCAGAAAUGGACAAAUCAAAUGUAAAAUAAAAUGUAAUUGAUUUAAUUAAAUAUAGAUUAAGUCUUGUUAGAGCAAAAUAAUAAAUAAAUACCUACACACAUUAAAAAAGCAGCCAAGAUUAAUGAGUUAAAUUUUUUAUAUAGAUUAAAAUUGAAGACAGAAGCAGCUGGUAUAUGCGGUCACUUAAUAUUAAAAUCCAGUAGAUCCACUUCAGAUUUAUUUCUCAACAGUUUAUGUUCACGUGGCUGUUUUCG
rnacentral:lncRNA from 1 species